rnacentral:lncRNA from 1 species
GGAGGAUCAGGGACGCCUGGUGGACCCCUUUGAAGGCCAAGAGACCAUUUGGGGUUGCGAGAUCGUGGGUUAGAGUCCCACCUCGUGCCCAGUUGCGAGAUCGUGGGUUCGAGUCCCACCUCGUGUUUUGUUGCGAGAUCGUGGGUUUGAGUCCCACCUCGCACCUUGUUGCGAGACCGUGGGUUCGAGUCCCACCUCGCGUCUGGUCACGGGAUCGUGGGUUCGAGUCCCACCUCGUGCAGAGGGUCUCAAUCGGCCGGCCUUGGAGAGGCCAUCUGAUUCUUCUGGUUUCUUUUUUGUCUUAGUCUCGUGUCCGCUCUUGUUGUGACUACUGUUUUUCUAAAAAUGGGACAAUCUGUGUUCACUCCCCUUUCUCUGACUCUGGAGCAUUGGAAGGAGGUGCGGGUCAGAGCCCACAACCAGUCGGUGGAGGUCAGAAAGGGUCAGUGGCAGACCUUUUGCGCCUCCGAGUGGCCAACGUUUGGAGUAGGCUGGCCACCUAAGGGUGCUUUUGACUUGUCACUAAUCGCCGCCGUCAGGCAAAUUGUUUUUCAGGAGGAAGGGAGUCGAUGUGGAAUCUGCCCCCGUCAGGAAAUAGCGUUUGGCUUGGCUGGUUGUACAAGUCCAGGCGUGGACGAGUGUGCUUAGAGAUACUGGUGUCUUCUUUUUCUCUGUUGCUAUCUUGUUUUUGUUUGUGGUUUUUGUCAUGAGACACAGACACUGUACGUCAGAGGUAAAGUGAGAUCCCUCCCUGUCUGUAUGUCUGUGUGUCUGUGUGUCUUGUUCACUUGUGUGUCCUCCAUUGGACCACCUUCUGAUUCUGUUUUGUUUUUGGUUUGUCUGGUUUCAGGUCUGGUCUUGGUCCCAAGGAGUUGACUGAUUAUCUUGGUUUGGUUUUAGGCCGGUCUCAGGUUCUGGGGCCUUCCCAUGGAGACAGGUCCAUUUGGGUUGGUCAUAGUGACAGUAAGCUUCUCUGGAAAUCGCAUGUAAGAUGCCCUGUAUUGGUCUUGCUUGUGUUUGUCAUUUCUGUGGUACUGUGAUUCUAUAGUGGUUGCCUGAAAAACGGUUUCUGUGUGUGUCUUUUUUGUCUCUUUGUGUUCGGACUUGGACUGAUGACUGACGACUGUUUUUAAGUUAUGCCUUCUGAAAUAAGCCUAAAAAUCCUGUCAGAUCCCUAUGCUGACCACUUCCUUUCAGAUCCUCAGCUGCCCUGCCUCCCACUCCAACUCCAGAGAGCAGCCAGCGGGUCACAGUGGUCCCGCCCAUGGACCUGGAGCCUAGGGGGAAAUGAGCUCGGAAAUCCGGAGCAAAUGAGGAGUGGUCCCUGAGAAGUCAGUGGCCUAGAUGUUGUGGCUGCUGAAGAAAAAAAGAAGAGGAGGCUGUUCGAGUAGCCGGCCAAGAGCGCUGCAGGUUCCCAGGCAGCUUCUCAUUCCCCUGUCCCUCCCAUCCCGUCUCUUGUUAACAGAAAAACUGCUUUCACUUUAAGAUAAGUGCCGGUUGCAGCCAGCUGUGAGAGCUGCACUCCCGUCUCUGCUCUAAAGUUCCCUCUUCUCAGAAGGUGGCACCACCCUGAGUUGCUGGCAGUGAGUCUGUUCCAAGUUCCAGUGAGGGAGGCAUCCACCCACUUGGGGCUUCUGUCCAAGGUAAGGAGCACCUGUGAGUCUAACUGCCAGGCUCUGAUGGGGGUCUCGUCUCUGUGGGACUAGAAAGUCCCAACAAUCUGACCAAGGUAAGACAAAGACAGAGACCAGAGUCAGAAUCAGAGCUGUGCUGUGAGACAAAAAAAUAAGAAAAAUGAAAUGUUGGCCACAAAAGUCAGGAAAACUAGAAAACUUAGAUAGUACCUGGCAACAAAAAAAAGCUUUUGGCUAAAGAUCAACGUGUAAGAGAUAACAAAAGGGGUGCUAACACAGAAGCUGAGUCCUUAAAAGAGUCCGGUGGCCUACCUGUUAAAGCAGCUAAAAAAGAGACUGUGUUUCAUAUUCCUCCACCGACCAGUGCAAAACAAGCUAAAAAGUUCCUGGGCACUGCGGGCUUUUGCAGAUUGUGGAUUCCAGGUUUUGCUGAGUUAAAGAGAUAAACAGCCCUUCGUAUAGAAAAAUAAAGAACAAUCUUAGAUGGCCUUAAAUGCUCUUGAGACUGCCCUGAUGUUAUCCCCAGCUUUGGGACUCCUAGAUGUGACUGAGAACAAAGGUAUUGCCAAAGAAGUUCUUACUCAGAGAUUAGGACCCUGAAAAAGACCUGUGGCAUACUUGUAAGAAAUUAGACCUGGUGGCUGUAAGAUGGCCUGCUUGUCUGCACAUAGUGGCUUCUGGUCAAGGACGCAGAUAAAUUGACUCUGAGACAAAACUUGGCACAUGUCCUAGAAAGUGUGGUUCAGCCCCCAUGACCGAUGGCUGACUAACGCUCUUAAAAGCAUUAUCCAACUGUUCCCCUGACCGAUGGACACAUUGUCAGAGCUUUGACUGAACGAGUGACCUUCGCUCCCCCUGCUAUCCUCGAUCUCACUACUGCCUGAGACUUCACCUACUCAUCAUUGUGCUGACAUUCUGGCAGAAGGAACUCAUACUCGAAAUGAUCUGAAGGAUCAGAUCAGCCUUGGCCUGAGAGUUUGAGCUGGUACACGGAUGGCAGUAGCCUCGAGGUUAAGGGUAAGCGGAAGGCGGGGACAGCAGUGCAGUGGUGGACAGAAAGCAAGUGAUCUAGGCCAGCAGCCUCCCUAAAGGGACUUCAGCCCAGAAAGCUAAACUUGUGGCUUUAAUACAAGCUCUAUAUAUACAGACAAAGAGAGCUGUUGACAUCUGCAGAGAAAGACCUAAGAUGCUGUGGCUAAAAAAAAUCAGAUGGCAAAUCUAACCGCCCAGGCAUCCUAAAGAGCAAUGAUCCUGACAGUCUGAAGACUAUCAAGUUAUAGACAAAUUAAGACUGGUAAAAGAAACCCUGUAUAAAAUAGUAA